rnacentral:rRNA from 1 species
UACGAAGGGUGCAAACGUUAUUCGGAUUUACUGGGCUUAAAGAGUUCGUAGGCCGCGCGGAAAGUAGGGUGUGAAAGCCCUCGGCUCAACCGAGGAACUGCGCUCUAAACUACCGUGCUUGAGGAACCUAGAGGUGAGCAGAACUGAUGGUGGAGCGGUGAAAUGCGUUGAUAUCAUCAGGAAUACCGGAGGCGAAGGCGGCUCACUGGGGGUUUUCUGACGCUGAGGAACGAAAGCCAGGGGAGCAAACGGG